UACGGAGGGAGCUAGCGUUGUUCGGAAUUACUGGGCGUAAAGCGCGCGUAGGCGGCUUUGUAAGUUAGAGGUGAAAGCCCGGGGCUCAACCCCGGAAUUGCCUUUAAGACUGCAUCGCUUGAAUCCGGGAGAGGUGAGUGGAAUUCCGAGUGUAGAGGUGAAAUUCGUAGAUAUUCGGAAGAACACCAGUGGCGAAGGCGGCUCACUGGACCGGCAUUGACGCUGAGGUGCGAAAGCGUGGGGAGCAA
rnacentral:rRNA from 1 species